GCAUUUCUUACUUGGAACACUGUAGUCAAGGAUCAUCCCAGUAUCAUUAGUGAAAUAUUCCCUUUACAUGUUCGACAUUGUUUCUUAGAUGUCUAAUAGUUCAAAGUGGUGAUAAUACCUAGAUGAGCAAGAAAGUACACUUCUGUUGUAUCAUACAUAUAUAUUUUAAUUCUUUCUUUAAAAUUGUCUUUAUCUUAGAUUCUCCAUGGCC
rnacentral:lncRNA from 1 species